rnacentral:rRNA from 1 species
ACUCCUGCGGGAGGCAGCAGUGGGGAAUUUUGGACAAUGGGCGAAAGCCUGAUCCAGCAAUGCCGCGUGCAGGAUGAAGGCCUUCGGGUUGUAAACUGCUUUUGUACGGAACGAAAAAGCUCCUUCUAAUACAGGGGGCCCAUGACGGUACCGUAAGAAUAAGCACCGGCUAACUACGUGCCAGCAGCCGCGGUAAUACGUAGGGUGCGAGCGUUAAUCGGAAUUACUGGGCGUAAAGCGUGCGCAGGCGGUUAUGUAAGACAGAUGUGAAAUCCCCGGGCUCAACCUGGGAACUGCAUUUGUGACUGCAUGGCUAGAGUACGGUAGAGGGGGAUGGAAUUCCGCGUGUAGCAGUGAAAUGCGUAGAUAUGCGGAGGAACACCGAUGGCGAAGGCAAUCCCCUGGACCUGUACUGACGCUCAUGCACGAAAGCGUGGGGAGCAAACAGGAUUAGAAACCCUAGUAGUCCCA